ensembl:lncRNA
GACUUUUCAACUGCAUGAGAGAGUCAAUGAUGAUGAUGAUGAACUUGAAACCCUUCAAAUGAAGCCGGGGGGGGGGAACUGUGGCUCAGAAGAAUGGACAUGUGAUUACACCAGCCUGAUAAGAAGAUUUCCCUGCAAUACAGACAGCAAGGAAAUGUAAACCACUUGCCACUUCGAAGGCUGGACAAUAUCCAACAAACAGUGCUAGGAUUCUCUACAUCCCCCAUCUCACCUGUUGACCAAAGUGCUCAAUUUUCUGAGUGACUUCAUCUAGGCUCGGAACAGCAACCAAAUCCAUGGACACCACUGAACAUUUUCUUUUGUUGUGAAUUCGGAAGCCAAUCAGUUUCUAGAAGCAAAGCAGGGAGCAAAGAAGAUUUCAGGGGGAAAAAAGGAAUGUCCAGGCACUCAAUGUAUGCCCCUCUCAAGUGCCGUGUUUUGAAGAUUUGACCUCCCUGUCUGGACAUUCACAUGUACCACAUAGUGUGACAAAUCAGAGAAAUGUACCCUUCCUUUUUUGUUAUAACCCAACAUUCUGACCAAGUCUGAAUUAUCACAAAGAGCAAAUAUCAAGAUAACAAACCCAGCAUUUAUUUUGUUUCUUGUAUAUGAUUUCCUUUGGCAAUUGGCAAUUGUGAUAGCUUUCUUGUAUACAAAUAACUAUUUUACCUUCCAAAAGAGGGAGACAGACAACAUAUAAAAUCCUGAUUAUCAAGAUGCAAUUAUUUCCAACAUUUUAGCUAAGACAGUGGCCAUUUAUAAGCCUGGUUUAUGUUACUCUCCCUGCCCCUCCCAUGGUUUUAAACCAGCUGGAGGCAUCUGUACAAAGCACGCAACAAGGAUGGGCAUCUCGAAAAUUCAUAUAACUAGAGUUACAUGGCCCCAAAGUACAAAA